GAUGAACGCUGGCGGCGUGCCUAAUACAUGCAAGUCGAGCGAACAGAUGAGGAGCUUGCUCCUCUGACGUUAGCGGCGGACGGGUGAGUAACACGUGGAUAACCUACCUAUAAGACUGGGAUAACUUCGGGAAACCGGAGCUAAUACCGGAUAAUAUAUUGAACCGCAUGGGUCAAUAGGGAAAGACGGUUUUGCUGGCACUUAUAGAUGGAUCCGCGCCGCAUUAGCUAGUUGGUGAGGUAACGGCUUACCAAGGCGACGAUGCGUAGCCGACCUGAGAGGGUGAUCGGCCACCCUGGAACUGAGACACGGUCCAGACUCCUACGGGAGGCAGCAGUCGGGAAUCUUCCGCAAUGGGCGGGAGCUUGACGGAGCAACGCCGCGUGAGUGAUGAAGGUCUUCGGAUCGUAAGACUCUGUUAUUAGGGAAGAACAAAUGUGUAAGUAACUAUGCACGUCUUGACGGUACCUAAUCAGAAAGCCACGGCUAACUACGUG
rnacentral:rRNA from 1 species